rnacentral:lncRNA from 1 species
UUGUAAAACACCGACGCAUAGGGCAAAAACGAACUGAGCAGGCCGGGACCGCCGAUCACAUAGAGCGUGUCGCCGACGCACGCCGUAAAGGCGUCGUCGACCGAUUGCACCAACAGUGCGCCGUCGUUGCAUACGUCCGUCGGCGGAUUAGAGAGACAAUGCGACAGCACGAGGCCGAGUCGGCCGGGAGAGCGACCCGAAAGGCGCGGUGCGAGGGCCGCCGCGGAUCGGCGACUCAGGACAACGGUCCCGUCGGCCACCAGGCGCACGAUGGCCUCGAUCUGGCCGCUGGCCUUGUAGUCGUAGGGGACGACGUCGUCCUCGAUAAGCAGGUCGGUCUUGUCGACGGCCGCGACGAGGCACACCCGGAUCACCCGCCGCACGGGGUCCUUGUGUUGCAUGCGUGAUUUUGAGGGGGGAACAAAGAUUGCCUUUUUUUACUUUUUUUUUCUCUCUUGUUCUGGCGACCGACUAUGCGCCUG